rnacentral:rRNA from 1 species
AUAUUUUUACAACAUAGCAUUAAUGCACCAGAUCCCAUUAGAACUCCGCAGUUAAGCAUGCUCAGGUUAGAUUAGCAUUGGGAUCGGUGACCGCUAUUGAGUUGAGAAAAAAGGUACA